AGCGUUGUUGCUCUGGGCAGCGUCCAGGCUAACUGUUGUUAGCAAAACAUUGUGUUUGUUUGCGUUGUGUUAAUUCAAAGUCCCAACAUGUUCAGGGACUGGAGUUGAAAAGCUGAGAGGAUCGCGGUGCUAAGGAGAUGCUAACAGUCCACGCUACAAGGCUGAAGCCUUUUGGGAAAUCUGCUGUCGGGUUUAUGGAAGUGCUUCUCCAAAUACACCUUUUCGGAUCGGUGAUUUGAAUUAUAGGGACGUUCAAAUUGUCUGCGUUGGCCUUGAAGUUAGACAUUCUUCCUUUCCCGGCGGGACUCGAACGCAUCAUGAAAGCUUUGAAGAGGGGCGGUGCUGUUGAGGGAACAGUACACGGAGUAUUACAUAACCACAUUUCCCCCAGCAGAGAACUGAGCAUUUAAAUCUAACUCGGCAGCAUGCAGGAAAGGAAGGAAGGAUAAAAGGAAACAAGGAAUGGAGGACAGGAUGGAGGAAAGAAGAAAGGAAGAAAAAAGAGAGAAGAAAUGAAAUGAGGGAAAAUGUAAAGGAGGGAUGGAUUGAGUAAAGGUGAAAGUUGGAGGGAGAGG